rnacentral:rRNA from 1 species
UGCGUAGGUGGUUUCUUAAGUCAGAGGUGAAAGGCGGGGGCUCAACCCCCGGACUGCAUUGGAAACUGCUGAUCUUGAGUACCGGAGAGGUAAGCGGAAUUCCUAGUGUAGCGGUGAAAUGCGUAGAUAUUAGGAGGAACACCAGUGGCGAAGGCGGCUUACUGGACGGUAACUGACGUUGAGGCUCGAAAGCGUGGGGAGCAAAUA